rnacentral:rRNA from 1 species
GACGAACGCUGGCGGCGUGCCUAAUACAUGCAAGUCGAGCGGACGAUUCGAAAGCUUGCUUUUGAAUCGUUAGCGGCGGACGGGUGAGUAACACGUGGGCAACCUGCCCUGUAGACGGGGAUAACACCGAGAAAUCGGUGCUAAUACCGGAUAACACGAAAUGUCGCAUGACGUUUCGUUGAAAGGCGGCGCAAGCUGCCGCUACAGGAUGGGCCCGCGGCGCAUUAGCUAGUUGGUGAGGUAACGGCUCACCAAGGCGACGAUGCGUAGCCGACCUGAGAGGGUGAUCGGCCACACUGGGACUGAGACACGGCCCAGACUCCUACGGGAGGCAGCAGUAGGGAAUCUUCCGCAAUGGACGAAAGUCCGACGGAGCAACGCCGCGUGAGCGAAGAAGGCCUUCGGGUCGUAAAGCUCUGUUGUUAGGGAAGAACAAGUAACGUAGUAACUGACGUUACUAUGACGGUACCUAACGAGAAAGCCACGGCUAACUACGUG